GAUGAACGCUGGCGGCGUGCCUAAUACAUGCAAGUCGAGCGAACGGACGAGAAGCUUGCUUCUCUGAUGUUAGCGGCGGACGGGUGAGUAACACGUGGAUAACCUACCUAUAAGACUGGGAUAACUUCGGGAAACCGGAGCUAAUACCGGAUAAUAUUUUGAACCGCAUGGUUCAAAAGUGAAAGACGGUCUUGCCGUCACUUAUAGAUGGAUCCGCGCUGCAUUAGCUAGUUGGUAAGGUAACGGCUUACCAAGGCAACGAUGCAUAGCCGACCUGAGAGGGUGAUCGGCCACACUGGAACUGAGACACGGUCCAGACUCCUACGGGAGGCAGCAGUAGGGAAUCUUCCGCAAUGGGCGAAAGCCUGACGGAGCAACGCCGCGUGAGUGAUGAAGGUCUUCGGAUCGUAAAACUCUGUUAUUAGGGAAGAACAUAUGUGUAAGUAACUGUGCACAUCUUGACGGUACCUAAUCAGAAAGCCACGGCUAACUACGUGCCAGCAGCCGCGGUAAUACGUAGGUGGCAAGCGUUAUCCGGAAUUAUUGGGCGUAAAGCGCGCGUAGGCGGUUUUUUAAGUCUGAUGUGAAAGCCCACGGCUCAACCGUGGAGGGUCAUUGGAAACUGGAAAACUUGAGUGCAGAAGAGGAAAGUGGAAUUCCAUGUGUAGCGGUGAAAUGCGCAGAGAUAUGGAGGAACACCAGUGGCGAAGGCGACUUUCUGGUCUGUAACUGACGCUGAUGUGCGAAAGCGUGGGGAUCAAACAGGAUUAGAUACCCUGGUAGUCCACGCCGUAAACGAUGAGUGCUAAGUGUUAGGGGGUUUCCGCCCCUUAGUGCUGCAGCUAACGCAUUAAGCACUCCGCCUGGGGAGUACGACCGCAAGGUUGAAACUCAAAGGAAUUGACGGGGACCCGCACAAGCGGUGGAGCAUGUGGUUUAAUUCGAAGCAACGCGAAGAACCUUACCAAAUCUUGACAUCCUUUGACAACUCUAGAGAUAGAGCCUUCCCCUUCGGGGGGGGCAAAGUGACAGGUGGUGCAUGGUUGUCGUCAGCUCGUGUCGUGAGAUGUUGGGUUAAGUCCCGCAACGAGCGCAACCCUUAAGCUUAGUUGCCAUCAUUAAGUUGGGCACUCUAAGUUGACUGCCGGUGACAAACCGGAGGAAGGUGGGGAUGACGUCAAAUCAUCAUGCCCCUUAUGAUUUGGGCUACACACGUGCUACAAUGGACAAUACAAAGGGCAGCGAAACCGCGAGGUCAAGCAAAUCCCAUAAAGUUGUUCUCAGUUCGGAUUGUAGUCUGCAACUCGACUACAUGAAGCUGGAAUCGCUAGUAAUCGUAGAUCAGCAUGCUACGGUGAAUACGUUCCCGGGUCU
rnacentral:rRNA from 1 species